AUUGAACGCUGGCGGCAUGCCUUACACAUGCAAGUCGAACGGUAACAGAUCUUCGGAUGCUGACGAGUGGCGAACGGGUGAGUAAUACAUCGGAACGUGCCUAGUAGUGGGGGAUAACUACUCGAAAGAGUGGCUAAUACCGCAUGAGAUCUACGGAUGAAAGCAGGGGAUCGCAAGACCUUGUGCUACUAGAGCGGCCGAUGGCAGAUUAGGUAGUUGGUGGGAUAAAAGCUUACCAAGCCGACGAUCUGUAGCUGGUCUGAGAGGACGAUCAGCCACACUGGGACUGAGACACGGCCCAGACUCCUACGGGAGGCAGCAGUGGGGAAUUUUGGACAAUGGGCGCAAGCCUGAUCCAGAAAUGCCGCGUGCAGGAUGAAGGCCUUCGGGUUAUAAACUGCUUUUGUACGGAACGAAAAGCCCUGGGUUAAUACCCUGGGGUCAUGACGGUACCGUAAGAAUAAGCACCGGCUAACUACGUGCCAGCCGCCGCCGUAA
rnacentral:rRNA from 1 species